AGGAGAUGGUGGACCCACAAGUGGGCGCCAACCUUCGCGCGGCAGUCUGACAGAGGAAUGAUAUUAAAAACAAUACAAGUGAAAAAGAGAAAAAUGAGAACAAUAUCAUCACUUGAAAAUUGUGCCUGCCCAUACCCAUGUCACAUCCAGGAUAAGAUUCCUCUUUACCAUCCCAAGGAUGGGAUGUCCGACAGGUAUGGGAAUGUUUGUAACAAGAAAUAUGUUUCAAGAGAGGAAGCACAUUUUAAACCAUAACAAAAAAUGAAUUCAACACACACAUACACACAAAAAUAAAAUCUCUACGUGAUUUAGAGUUCUGAAUAUCAUCACAUGAAUAACUAAUCAACCUCAAAGAUUAUAUCCAUCAAGGCAUAAAACUCUUUAAUGCAAUUCGAAAAAAUUCAACGAAAAAGAAUUAAAACAACAUUGAAAUUUUAAUACCAAAAUUCUCAGAGUAUGUACCUGCAGAUCAUGUUGGGC
rnacentral:misc_RNA from 1 species